rnacentral:rRNA from 1 species
UGUGGUGGUUAUAGCGCGGAGGACCCACCCGUUCCCAUUCCGAACACGGCCGUUAAGCUCCGCAGCGCCAAUGGUACUCCUUCGGGGGUAGAGUAGGUCGCCGCCUCAU